GUUGUCAUUCGCCAUCUGAAGUUCACCAAUAAAAUUCUUUUUAAUAUCGUUGCACCACGUAAUUGCUCUAUGCUAGGUUUUGCAGAGAUACCUAUAUUUUGCUGUGUAAUGAACUUCUUAUAGCAUUUACCGGAACAGUCGAUAAACUGGACUUUAGUCUUUUUUAGGUAAAGCUUUAACAGGUUUCGCAAGCUAUGAACAUUAAUCGCACCAUCCUACUUAUAUCUACCAUUAAGCAGUGGUACGUUUCAAAAUAAAAAGAGGGAAUAAUUUGAGAAGUCCAGUUAAAACUUUAAAAAAAGAAGAUAUAACGUUAAAAAUAUCAGUACUUAAUACCGAAAAAUCCAAUAAAUUCAAAUUCAUUUUUUAUAUAAUCAAGUAUUCCCAUCUCUUUCAUCGUACAACCCUAACAUCGAGCCCAUUUCUCUCCCUACUCCCCUCUCCCUGGUACUCGACAUUAUGUUUGUGCAUUGUUCAUUGAAUUUGUAUUUUUUGCUCUAACGAGGCCGGAGAGGGUUCCUUUGAAGUUAACAAAUGAUACGUUAAUAGAAUGCAGAGCAUUAUUAACUACAAAAAAGGCUUUAAAAUCCUUUUCUAUGUAAUGACCAAAUAAAAACCUACCUUCUACAA